GAAUUCACCCACCAUAGCUACUCCUUUUCUAUCGAUCUGUUAGGGUUUUGGAGAAACAAAUAGAUAUUGAAGAGAAGGAGAACGAGGAAAAAGAAGAAGAAGAAGAGGAAGAGAAGACGGGGGAGGAGGAAGAAGAAGAGAGUGAAGAUGAAGGGACUAAAAAGGUCAAAGGUAGUAGUAGAAAGGGGAGUUCUAGGAAAUCUGGUCGAGAUUCGGCUGAGAAGAAAGAGCCAGUGACGCCUAGUAGUGAAGAUGGGUUCAUCGCCUGCACCACUUCCGUCCAACGAUAGUACUGCCAUUGAUCAAAGAGUUGCUUUCAUUCUCCUUUUACUUGCUCUGGCCCUCUAUGUUAUACCAUAGCUCCAGUUAACGAUGGGAUUAAUUAACGAUGGGAUUAAUUAAAGUUGCAUAACUCCAGUUAAUCUUGGCCCUCUUUGUCUUUUCUCUUUGGUAUCUAAACUGGUUAUAUUAACGUUUUUGUUUCUAGUAUUUAUAGCUUCUACUUUGGAAUCAGAAGUUAUUGGUAGGAAGUGUUGAGAAUUGGAGCUAAUUUGGUGUAAUACGCUUGUUUGACAGGUUUCAUGGUUUCUUUUGGAAGGCAGCCAGAAUAGGUGGGUCUCCUUUGCUGCUUGGUUAACUUCUUUCUGGUUGCAUUGAGAAUUUGGAAUAGUCAUGUAAUCUAAUGAUUUUGAUCCUAAUAAUAGCUCCUUUUCGUUUUUUUUUUAAUUUGGGGUUCUUUUUAUGACUAUUUGCAUGUUUGCUUCUUUCGAUUAUGUUACUGUUCUUUGGAUGAUCAAAAUUCCUAUCUGAAGAAAUUUAGUCCAAAUUUGUUUCUGUUUUGCUUUCUUAAUAAUGGGUUGUCAAAUAUGACGUUAAUUUACACUUCAUUUUUUUGGGUUUUUUUUAAAAUAAUUAUUUGUUGGCUUAGUAUUCAUACAAUAAAACUGGAUAAAGCUGGUUUCAUUUGUAUCGAUCAGUGUUUAAGUACUCACUACAGCAUUCUCAUCUGCUUAUUUCCUCUAUUGAGUUUAUGUUUAAGUUGUUUUAUCAACAUUUCUAUCGAUACUGAAAGCUGAGGAUGGCAUUUUUCCCUGUUUUAUGCAUAAUGUAAAUAACAUUUAAUUCCGUUUUUUUUGUUCUUUGAUAUUGACAAAUCAGGUUAGUUGAUGUUUGAGUAUCUUUAUUGCCAUUGUGUAUGGGCCACUCUAGUUUCUUGAAUUUGUUGUUUGCUGUCGGUGUGUGGUGUGCUGCAUAUAUUACUGUCGCGGUUAUGGCGUCUUUGCGCAUCUUCAAUUCAAUCUGUUCAUUCUGAGUCAGUAAAGCAAUUUGACUGGUGUGGAACGCUGUAAUGGGAUAUGCACAACUGGUUAUUGGUCCUGCAGGCAGUGGAAAG
rnacentral:lncRNA from 1 species